AGCGAACGCUGGCGGCAGGCCUAACACAUGCAAGUCGAACGAACUCUUCGGAGUUAGUGGCGGACGGGUGAGUAACACGUGGGAACGUGCCUUUAGGUUCGGAAUAACUCAGGGAAACUUGUGCUAAUACCGAAUGUGUCCUUCGGGGGCAAGAUUUAUCGCCCUUAUAGCGGCCCGCGUCUGAUUAGCUAGUUGGUGAGGUAAAGGCGCACCAAGGCGACGAUCAGUAGCUGGUCUGAGAGGAUGAUCAGCCACAUUGGGACUGAGACACGGCCCAAACUCCUACGGGAGGCAGCAGUGGGGAAUCUUGCGCAAUGGGCGAAAGCCUGACGCAGCCAUGCCGCGUGAAUGAUGAAGGUCUUAGGAUUGUAAAAUUCUUUCACCGGGGACGAUAAUGACGGUACCCGGAGAAGAAGCCCCGGCUAACUUCGUG
rnacentral:rRNA from 1 species